CCUCUGAUUGGUUGUUUACAGGUAAAAUGUGGCAAUAAUGACCUGGUGCAGUGGAUUAAAUUGAAACUUAACAGACCACCAUGAUGUUCAUCUACUUACACAAUUCUCACAGCCUUUCUGGUACAAAUAUACAACCGCUACUCGACAGAUUUAAGCAGAUCGUGUAUUCUGUGACAUACCUGUGACUAGUUUCAAGGGUUCCUCUACCCUGGCAGCCUGUCUUGGUCAGUGCCUGCUCAACCAGGUUGUUGCUGUUAGUGCCCUCGGAGCCAUGACAAUCUGACGAUGUGAAGCUGAUGCAGAGAAUUCAAGUGGAUGAAGAUCAAGUAGGACUACAAAAGGAUCUGGACAUGCUGUAAGCCUGGUCCAACAACUGGCUCCUGGAGUUUAACCCCACCAAAUGCAAUGUCAUAAAGAUUGGGGAAAGUCAAAGAAGACUGCAGACAGAGUACAGGCUAGGAGGGGGAGGGGACAAAGACUCAAACCUCACUCAAGUAAAAGGAUCUUAGGGUGAGUAUAAUACUGAACACAUCUCCUGAGGUGCACAUCACCCAAAUAACUGCUGUAGCAUAUGGGUGCCUGCCAAACCUAAGAAUAACAUUUUAACACUUAAGUAAGGAAUCAUUCAAGAUUCUGUACAUCAGGCUCAUAUUGGAGUAUGUAGCUCCAGUAUGGAACCCACACUUGGUCAAGCCCGUCGAGAAAUUAGAGAAAGUGCAAAGGUUUAUAACAAGACUAGGCCUAGAGCUAAGGGGUAUGUCCUGCAAGGAGAGGUUAAGGGAAAUCAACUUGACGACACUGGAGGACAGGAGAGAUAGGGGAGGACAUGAUAACAACAUAUAAAAUACUGGAUAGGGACUGGAUAGGUGGAUAGGGACAGGAUGUUUCAGUGAUAGUACACAGUAACAAGGGGUCACAACCAGAAAAUGAAAACUCAGAUGAGUCGCAGGGAUGUUAGGAAGUAUUUCUUGAGUUAUAGAAUUGUCAGGAAGUGGAACACUCUGGAGAAUGAUGUAGUGGAGGCAGGAUCCAUACAUAGCUUUAAGAGGAGAUAUGAUAAAACUCAUGGAGCAGGGAGAGAGUGGACCUAGUAGCAACCAGUGAAGAGGCAAGGCCAGGAGCUAUGAAUCAACCCCUGCAACUACAAAUAGGGGAGUACAAAUAAGUGAGCACACACACAUGCACAUACACACAUAUAUACAUACAUUUACUCAUAUCACAAAAAAAUAGCCUGAGCAGGACUAUUGCCAAAUUUGGCAGGUAUAGCCCCUAAUGACCUCUUGCAUAUAAUGUAAGUUAAUCUUUAAAUAAAAAAUGCUAGCAAAAAGUGUCUUGUACAUAAAAUAUAUGGCAGGAGCUCUCUUAAUCCUAGAAAACCCUUAAGUGUUAAAAAAUUAGCCUUGUACCAGGCAGGCAUCACCAAGGUGUAGCUAUGGAACACAAGAGUACAUUGUUCCUACCAUGCAUAACACUGUGUGUACACAAGCAAGAUGGGCAAAGGAGGAAAGGAGGGAAGAAAUGCUAGAGCAAUCCACUCAUUUUCAAGGCUGUCUUUAAUGGGAUGUUGCAUUAAUGUCAGCUGUUGAACUUUCAUUAUUAAAGUGCUUAAAACCUUCAAACUGUAUUAUACUGGAUAAUUUUCGUUAAGAACUGUUUAUGGUAAUCACAUAAAUUCUUAAUCUCUGCAUAUAAAUUAAAAAUGCACCUCUGUAUGAGGCGAUUUAAUUUUCUUGAAAUUCAUAACAAGAUCAAAUGAUUGUGGCUAACACUAGUACCAACUGGGAUAUUUUAUGUAUUGUUGAAGCUCCCGAAUUAUUAUUAUACACUAUUCAGAAACGUGCUAAAUCCAUAUGGGUCAUUUUCCCAGGACUGAAAAACAACAGCAUGUGUACAGCCUACGAUGUUGAAACCCGUUGAACUAAAGGGAAACAACUAUGACACUACAAGCAUGUUUGCAGUAUUGAAGUUUUUCAUGCGACAUCACCACUUGCUGACUCACCAUGUUGGGCAUCAAGCAUCAAUGAUAAACAGAUACACAUAGCAUGCCUGUUUUGAGAGUUCUCUCAUCCUUGAAAGCCUUUAUCUUGAUUAUUCCUUGUUGUGCUGUUAGGUAUAAUAACUAACAUAGUGAUAAAUUUAAUCUAGCAUUCUGCAGGCUCCCCAAGGAUUUAGAAAUAGAAGAGAGAUGGAUUUCUGCCACAAGGUGGAAAAACUGGGAGCUAAGAGAAUACAGGCAUCUGUUUAGCAAACAUUUCACUGCUUCCACUUUCACAAUUGUAUAGCAUGGUAGUACAGUGAUAUUUAUCCCUGGAUGGUUGCUGUCUAAGAACUUCCUACCAAUGUGGAAAACAUUUAACAGACUUUUGUUUCAUACACAAGGCAGGAGGGUACAGUAAUACCUUAUUGAAUGGUUAAUAUCUACCAACUUACAGCCUAAAGUGUUAGUCUUUAUAUACUGUAUAGCAAAUUUAGGCUUUGGUCAGUUUGAAAGUAUUAUGAAGCAAAUUAAAUACGGUACACAGAAUAUAUAAAAUAGCCUGAGAUAUCUGUCAAGACUAAGCUUCUUCAAAUUUUAUGGAAAAAUUAUCAAUACACUUAUAGGAAAUUAAUUUACAAAAAUAUUAUUAAUCAUUAUCAGCACUAUAUGACCCUUGUGGGUUUAGCACUUAGUUUUGAUUAUAAUAAUAAUAUAUUAUUAAUCAUUAUAAAAAAUUUAUGUGGAAACUUUUUUACAACAAAAUUUGGCCCCACGACAUUUUCUUUCUACUGUGAACGACAUUAAAAGGAAGAGUGAAGGGUCAUUUUUAUGACUUGGCUCCAGUACCAGAAAAUACUGUAAAUAAUUAUUUAAAGUACAUUUCUUAAAGGAGAAAAGCUAUUAUGAUUGCAUGAUAACCCACUGAACCGCAUCUCCAUCUAGCCUUUAAAGUUCCAGUGCUAUUCUAUAAUGUACUUCACACCAGUUUCCGUUCAUGGGUCCUACUAGCUCACACUCUGUCAUUACAUUAUAUUUUUAAAACAUCUUAUCUCACUCCAGUCUAAUAUAUUCACAAGAGUGUAGCUGGCAGAUUCUCUAGCCUGCAUCUUCACAACCUGCUUCCAAUGCUGCCUUGGAAGUCAUUCACAUAUCCUUCCAUCCACCUUUCAUUUAUACCCUUUAAUUAAAUUUAUACUGUGCUGUAUACACAGUAGUUCACCUCAGUACCAUAAUGAGAAUUAUCACAAUUAUACAACUGUUGUACUAACGACCACAAUGAACAUUAUAUUAGAGCAAUAUGUUAUGGUUUUUAAAUCUAGAGCUGGGUAAAAGAGGCUGCUGAUGGCUUUUUUUUUUUUUUCUGGUACCACACCACCUCCAAGGUGCAUCAGUUUAUCCACAUUGACCUGAUUUUUUUUUUUUUUUUUUUGCAUGCGGCAAGUGAACACGCGGAGACAAUAUCACACUUUUGCGUAGAAU